CUAAGAGAUAUCGUGAAAUUACAACUCAACAAUGAAUUACAGCACAGGCUUUUCACAACUAAGAGACUGUCCAUCAUGGUGCCAGUUUUUCUCAAAAUGGCAUGUGUGCAUGAAAUUCUACAGGCAUAUGGGGUCGUGAUCUGCUAAUCUCCAGUUAUUAUACAAAACUACAGAUACUUGAAAACAGAACCAAAUAAAAAUUCUAGCAGAAGAAGACAAUAUAUGAAAUUUAAUAAUUCAUUUCCUGGGAAUGACAGCAGAAAGGUGAUGACAGAGGAAAGAGCCAAUAAAAUUUGAAGACAGACUCCUUCCUGUUGCCUUGUGAAGAAGGCUCCUGCUUCCCCUUCACCUUCUGCGCGAUUGUAAGUUUCCUGAGGCCUCCUAGCCAUGCUUCUUGUUCACUCUGCGGAACUGUCCUGAGCUGAAAAGAAUAUGAGAAAUCGGAUUUUACGACAUGGUUAUAGGCGGAAGGGAUUUGCCUUGUCUCAGAUGAGACUUUGGACUGUGGACUUUUGAGGUAAUCCUAGAAUGAGUUAAAACUUUGGGGGAUUGUUGGGAAGGCAUGAUUGUUUUUGAAAUGUAAGGACAUGAGAUUUGGGAGGGGCCAGAAGUGGAAUGAUAUAGUUUGGCUGUGUCCCCACCCAAAUCUCAUAUUGUAUUGCAGCUCUCAUAAUCCCCAUGUGUCAUGGGAGGAACCAGGUAGGAGGUAAUAGGAUCAAUGGGGCAGGUUUUUCCCAUGCUGUUCUUGUAAUAGUGAAUAAGUCUCAUGAGAUCUGACAGUUUUAGAAAGGGCAGUUCCCCCUGCACAUGCUCUCUUGCCUGCUCCCAUGUAAGACGUGCCUUUG
rnacentral:lncRNA from 10 species